GCUAACGAGAGAGAGUCAACCAACAGCAUACAAACAACCACUCAACGAAUAGCAGUAAACGCAUACGGUGUUGGCGCAGCAGCGCGAGUGUGUAAAAGGGAGCCAACGAAGCUGCAGCAGGAGCUGGAGCAGGAGCAAGAAAUAACUGUAGCAAAGCCCACAGUGCGCCCGCCUGUCAGCCUGUCAGCCAACCAGCCCCCCAAGCAGCCGUGCAGAUGCCAGCAAUAUUGUAAACACGCAUGCUUACAAGAUUUAUUUGUAUGAAAAUAUAAAAAAAGAAAAACAAAAAAGUUAAUUAAUAAACUUUUAAAACUAAACAAAAAAUAUCUAAUUCGAACAUGUGAUGCUAACAACCUUUAAUGCAAAACUCUAAACAAGACAACAAAAUAAAAAUAUUUUAAACAAAAAAAAAA